rnacentral:rRNA from 1 species
CACGUAGGGGGCAAGCGUUGUCCGGAUUUAUUGGGCGUAAAGAGCUUGUAGGCGGUUUGGCGCGUCUGCUGUGAAAUUUCGGGGCUCAACCCCGAACUUGCAGUGGGUACGGGCAGACUAGAGUGUGGUAGGGGAGACUGGAAUUCCUGGUGUAGCGGUGAAAUGCGCAGAUAUCAGGAGGAACACCGAUGGCGAAGGCAGGUCUCUGGGCCAUAACUGACGCUGAGAAGCGAAAGCAUGGGGAGCGAACAGG